rnacentral:rRNA from 1 species
GAUGAACGCUGGCGGCGUGCCUAAUACAUGCGAGUCGAGCGAACAGAUGAGGAGCUUGCUCCUCUGACGUUAGCGGCGGACGGGUGAGUAACACGUGGAUAACCUACCUAUAAGACUGGGAUAACUUCGGGAAACCGGAGCUAAUACCGGAUAAUAUAUUGAACCGCAUGGUUCAAUAGUGAAAGACGGUUUUGCUGUCACUUAUAGAUGGAUCCGCGCCGCAUUAGCUAGUUGGUAAGGUAACGGCUUACCAAGGCAACGAUGCGUAGCCGACCUGAGAGGGUGAUCGGCCACACUGGAACUGAGACACGGUCCAGACUCCUACGGGAGGCAGCAGUAGGGAAUCUUCCGCAAUGGGCGAAAGCCUGACGGAGCAACGCCGCGUGAGUGAUGAAGGUCUUCGGAUCGUAAAACUCUAUUAUUAGGGAAGAACAAAUGUGUAAGUAACUAUGCACGUCUUGACGGUACCUAAUCAGAAAGCCACGGCUAACUACGUG